rnacentral:misc_RNA from 1 species
ACAAACUUGGUCAUUUAGAGGAAGUAAAAGUCGUAACAAGGUCUCCGUUGGUGAACCAGCGGAGGGAUCAUUACCGAGUUUACAACUCCCAAACCCCUGUGAACCUUACCUAUCGUUGCCUCGGCGGGACCGCCCCGGCGCCCUCGGGCCCGGACCCAGGCGCCCGCCGGAGGACCCAAACUCUUGUAUUUUUGGAAUUUCUGAGUGGCGUAAGCAAAAUAAAUUAAAACUUUCAACAACGGAUCUCUUGGCUCUGGCAUCGAUGAAGAACGCAGC